UACAGGGGGGCAAGGCGUUGUUCGGAAUUACUGGGCGUAAAGGGCUCGUAGGUGGCCGACUAAGUCAGACGUGAAAUCCCUCAGCUUAACUGGGGAACUGCGUCUGAUACUGGAUGGCUUGAGUUUGGGAGAGGGAUGCGGAAUUCCAGGUGUAGCGGUGAAAUGCGUAGAUAUCUGGAGGAACACCGGUGGCGAAGGCGGCAUCCUGGACCAACACUGACACUGAGGAGCGAAAGCCAGGGGAGCAAACGGG
rnacentral:rRNA from 1 species